AGUGAACGCUGGCGGUAGGCCUAACACAUGCAAGUCGAACGGCAGCACAGUAAGAGCUUGCUCUUACGGGUGGCGAGUGGCGGACGGGUGAGGAAUACAUCGGAAUCUUCUUUUUCGUGGGUGAUAACGUAGGGAAACUUACGCUAAUACCGCAUACGACCUACGGGUGAAAGCAGGGGAUCUUCGGACCUUGCGCGAUUGAAUUAGCCGAUGUCGGAUUAGCUAGUUGGCUGGGUAAAGGCCCACCAAGGCGACGAUCCGUAGCUGGUCUGAGAGGAUGAUCAGCCACACUGGAACUGAGACACGGUCCAGACUCCUACGGGAGGCAGCAGUGGGGAAUAUUGGACAAUGGGCGAAAGCCUGAUCCAGCCAUACCGCGUGGGUGAAGAAGGCCUUCGGGCUGUAAAGCCCUUUUGUUGGGAAAGAAAAGCAGCAGGUUAAUACCCCGCUGUUCUGACGGUACCCAAAGAAUAAGCACCGGCUAACUUCGUG
rnacentral:rRNA from 1 species